UUACUUCCAUUUGGUGGAGACAACACAUAAAGGAGGGUCCAGCACAGGGAGGAUGCAGAGGCUUGAAGAUCCUCAGGGUUCAGUGGCAAGAGGAAUGGAUGUCAAGGCCCAGAAGUCCUUAGGAUACAUCAAGUUUCAGGUACUGGAGGUGAUCCUCUCUGGACCAGGCGUUUGAGCUGCAGUGAUCUAGGACUUAGGAUUCCAGUCGGGAUGUAACAACCAGCCAUCCCAGCAGGGAAGCCCCAAGAAGCCAGGGUGCCUGGGACACCAGUCCAAGGGGGAUUUUGGAGUUGAAAGUUGGGGACAAUGCUCUAUAGGAAUAGAGUUAAGCUAUGAAUCUAGUCUCCUUCCUCUCCUCAUAGACUGAGGCAGUAUGAGCAGAUGAUUAUGUCUCCUUCCUAGUAUGGAGUAUGUUUGUAUAUUUGUUUUCACAGCUUUGAAGUAAAUGCUCCUUUGUAAAAGUUAA